rnacentral:misc_RNA from 1 species
UAAGGUUUUGAAUCUUAUAUGUAUAAGAAGUAUCUGAGGACAUUUUGUUGCAUUUUGUCUCAUCAAGGUGUAGUGACAUUUUGUCCCAUUAAGGUGUAGUGACAUUUUGUCCCAUUAGGGUGAGUGACAUUUUGUCCCAUUAGUGUGAGUGACAUUUUGUCCCAUUAGGGUGAGUGACAUUUUGUCCCAUUAAGGUGUAGUGACAUUUUGUCUCAUCAAGGUGUAGUGACAUUUUGUCCCAUUAGUGUGAGUGACAUUUUGUCCCAUUAAGGUGUAGUGACAUUAUUUCCCCUCUACCCCAACUGGCAUUAUUUCCCUUCAAGUUGUAGUGACAUUUUGUCCCUCCAACGUAUAGUGACAUUAUUUCCCCUCUACCCAAACUGGCAUUAUUUCCCCUGUGCUACACUGGCAUUAUUUCCCCAAAACCCCAACUGGCAUUAUGUCCUUUCAAUUACUUUAGAAAGAUGAAAUUUGAGUGAAA